rnacentral:lncRNA from 1 species
GUCUGUUACUGAUGACGUGGUGGAGAGAGAAUUAAGUGAUUUAUAAUGAUUUAAUUACGUGGAUUUUAAUGUUAAAAAUUAAAGCUUCUGACAUGGAAUAUGGAUUUAUAAUUCGGAAUUUCCUCUCUUCUCCUUCUUCUUCUUCAUGUGUGAGAGAGAAGCUUUCUCCUUCCUCCGUCAAUCGUCUAGGACACCACCAGUCACCGUCAAGCCC